CUACGGGAGGCAGCAGUAGGGAAUUUUGCACAAUGGGGGAAACCCUGAUGCAGCGACGCCGCGUGAGUGACGAAGGUCUUCGGAUCGUAAAGCUCUGUCAGCAGGGAAGAAAUGUAUCAUGGCUAAUAUCCAUGGUACUUGACGGUACCUGCAAAGGAAGCACCGGCUAACUCCGUGCCAGCAGCCGCGGUAAUACGGAGGGUGCGAGCGUUGUUCGGAUUUACUGGGCGUAAAGGGCGCGUAGGCGGUCUUAUAAGCCAGAUGUGAAAGCCCACGGCUCAACCGUGGAAGUGCAUCUGGAACUGUGAGACUUGAGUACUGGAGGGGAGUGUGGAAUUCCCGGUGUAGAGGUGAAAUUCGUAGAUAUCGGGAGGAAUACCGGUGGCGAAGGCGACACUCUGGACAGAUACUGACGCUGAGGCGCGAAAGCGUGGGGAGCAAACAGGAUUAGAUACCCGCGUAU
rnacentral:rRNA from 1 species